GCGAUCGUGGCGGAAUCGGCAGACGCGCACGUUUGAGGGGCGUGUGGGUUUAUCCCGUGGUGGUUCAAGUCCACUCGAUCGCACCA
rnacentral:tRNA from 1 species